UACCGAGUUUACAACUCCCAAACCCAAUGUGAACGUUACCAAACUGUUGCCUCGGCGGGAUCUCUGCCCCGGGUGCGUCGCAGCCCCGGACCAAGGCGCCCGCCGGAGGACCAACCAAAAACUCUUUUGUAUACCCCCUCGCGGGUUUUUAUAUCUGAGCCAUCUCGGCGCCUCUCGUAGGCGUUUCGAAAAUGAAUCAAAACUUUCAACAACGGAUCUCUUGGUUCUGGCAUCGAUGAAGAACGCAGCGAAAUGCGAUAAGUAAUGUGAAUUGCAGAAUUCAGUGAAUCAUCGAAUCUUUGAACGCACAUUGCGCCCGCCAGUAUUCUGGCGGGCAUGCCUGUCCGAGCGUCAUUUCAACCCUCGAACCCCUCCGGGGGGUCGGCGUUGGGGAUCGGCCCUUUACGGGGCCGGCCCCGAAAUACAGUGGCGGUCUCGCCGCAGCCUCUCCUGCGCAGUAGUUUGCACACUCGCAUCGGGAGCGCGGCGCGUCCAUUGCCGUAAAACACCCAACUUUCUGAAAUGUUGACCUCGGAUCAGGUAGGAAUACCCGC
rnacentral:rRNA from 1 species